ACCUGAGCGGAAACCAAGAGUCAAACGCUUAACCAACUGAGCCGUGCAGGCACCCCUUUAUGUAUGUAUUUCUAAGUUUUCCUCCAUAGACAGACAUAUUUUCUACAUUUCUAAGGUAAAAAAGCAGGAUCAUACUGUCUGAAAAGUCAUUUUUAUUUUAUUUUUUUUAAUUCCGAAGUAUUUUUUCCAACUCCUGAAGUUUUUGUCUGGUUAGUUGGUUUCCUUGUUAUUCUUACUGUCAUUUUACUUUUUUCUAAUUCACUGAUUAGUCCCUCCUGGAGAGAGAGAAGUUUGUGGGGGCUUUUGUUUUUGUUUUUUCCCCUUGGGUAGCAGUCUGGCCUGGGACUCAGUAAUGGCCUGGGACUCAUAAAUACUUGAUUUCUAAUCCCUGGUAUCCUAUUAAUCAUGUAACCUGUCACAUUCUGACCAUUUUACUGGAAAAGGAAAAGUUAUUUCUGGUCAACUUGAACUAUGUUCAAUCUCAAAUCCCCGGUCCCCUAGGAAAAGGAGUCAUGCAGAGAUAUUAGCAUUCUGGCACCCCCUAGCGGCCAUCUGGGUAUUCUGUAAAACCUGAUCUUUUCCCUUCCUGCAGGGUAACUUGCAGACAGACAGAUGCUGUUGUGAGUGGAACAUAAAUUUAAGCUGAACCAUCCCUUAGACACCACCAUUCACCUCGUUCUUCCUUCCUGAUUUUCCUUGUUCCUAAACAGAAAGGGAUUUGAAUUUCUGAAACCCCAAUAAUGGUCAUCUUAGAGAAGAUCCAUCACUACCUUCCAUUACUGAGCCUCUCAGGCCUCACUCCACUUCCAGUCCGGCUGGGUGCUCAGACUCCAGAUCGUCCCUCUCCUCCUCACCUCCACCCCCAUUCCUACCAGAGCCAAAUCUCAGGGGGUCCCCAACAGCCCAUCCUGAAGACCUCCUCGCCCUGCCUCCACCUCCUCCAAUGCAUCCCGCCUACUGUUGUACCGUUGUCUUCCUCUGGGUGCAACUUCCUAACAGUGCUCUUCCAAAACUUGAGCAGCAGAAGAGUUCCUAGACACCAUGGCCCAAAUUCAGCCUGGCAUUGAAUCUGGAAGAAGCAUUUCCAGGAGGUGUACUAGGUCACACAGCUGGUAGCUUUCUGCCUCUGUUGUUGUUAUAAAGGAAAGCAGAAGUCUGUACCGAGGUAUGAUGGAUCAUAAUAUACUAUCCACACGUGCAGUUUCGUGAGAAAUCUAGGCUGGAACUUGCUUUGUUCAUUCUUAUCUCCCUCCCUUUCUUAAUUAAACUGUCAUCAUGCCCGGAGUCCCCCCACCGCCAGCUUGCAUGUUUUACAGCAUUGUGCCAGCUGGUCCCAAAUUGUGGUCCUUUCCACAGUCCAGCUCAGGCCUCCCUCUAGACUCAGUCCUCCCUCUCAACCCUCAAAGGACACAUCAUCAGAUGUUGCCUUGAAGAGUCACUGGACUCAUGUCUUGACAUGCCAGAAAGUUCAAAGGCAUCCGGACAGGGGCCAGCCCAGCACUUUUCCUGCUCCCACUUACACGGAAGUGCAUUGCUGUUACUCAGAGAAAAAAAAUUUUUAACACUGAUUAAAAUGUUUUCAUUGUGUGUAUUUGUUUUUUUCCCAGCUUUAGUGUA